rnacentral:rRNA from 1 species
CCUACGGGAGGCAGCAGUAGGGAAUCUUCGGCAAUGGACGAAAGUCUGACCGAGCAACGCCGCGUGAGUGAAGAAGGUUUUCGGAUCGUAAAACUCUGUUGGUAGAGAAGAACGUUGGUGAGAGUGGAAAGCUCAUCAAGUGACGGUAACUACCCAGAAAGGGACGGCUAACUACGUGCCAGCAGCCGCGGUAAUACGUAGGUCCCGAGCGUUGUCCGGAUUUAUUGGGCGUAAAGCGAGCGCAGGUGGUUUAUUAAGUCUGGUGUAAAAGGCAGUGGCUCAACCAUUGUAUGCAUUGGAAACUGGUAGACUUGAGUGCAGGAGAGGAGAGUGGAAUUCCAUGUGUAGCGGUGAAAUGCGUAGAUAUAUGGAGGAACACCGGUGGCGAAAGCGGCUCUCUGGCCUGUAACUGACACUGAGGCUC